rnacentral:rRNA from 1 species
GACGAACGCUGGCGGCGUGCCUAAUACAUGCAAGUAGAACGCACAGUUUAUACCGUAGCUUGCUACACCAUAGACUGUGAGUUGCGAACGGGUGAGUAACGCGUAGGUAACCUGCCUGGUAGCGGGGGAUAACUAGUGGAAACGAUAGCUAAUACCGCAUGAUAUUAAUUAUUGCAUGAUAAUUAAUUGAAAGGUGCAAUGGCACCACUACCAGAUGGACCUGCGUUGUAUUAGCUAGUAGGUGAGGUAACGGCUCACCUAGGCGACGAUACAUAGCCGACCUGAGAGGGUGGUCGGCCACCCUGGGACUGGGAACCGGCCCAGGCUCCUGCGGGCGGCAGCAGUAGGGAAUCUUCGGCAAUGGACGAAAGUCUGACCGAGCAACGCCGCGUGAGUGAAGAAGGUUUUCGGCUCGUAAAGCUCUGUUGUCAGAGAAGAACGGGUGUGAGAGUGGAAUGUUCACACUGUGACGGUAGCUUACCAGAAAGGGCCGGCUAACUACGUG